rnacentral:rRNA from 1 species
AUUGUAGUAGAACUUAACAGGAUUCCCCUAGUAACUGCGAGUGAAGCGGGAAAAGCUCAAAUUUAAAAUCUGGCGGUCUUUGGCUGUCCGAGUUGUAAUCUAGAGAAGUGCUAUCCGCGCUGGACCGUGUACAAGUCUCCUGGAACGGAGCGUCAUAGAGGGUGAGAAUCCCGUCUUUGACACGGACUACCAGGGCUUUGUGAUGUGCUCUCAAAGAGUCGAGUUGUUUGGGAAUGCAGCUCUAAAUGGGUGGUAAAUUCCAUCUAAAGCUAAAUAUUGGCGAGAGACCGAUAGCGAACAAGUACCGUGAGGGAAAGAUGAAAAGAACUUUGGAAAGAGAGUUAAACAGUACGUGAAAUUGUUGAAAGGGAAACGCUUGAAGUCAGUCGCGUUGGCUGGGGAUCAACCUUGCUCUUUUGCUUGGUGUACUUUCCAGUUGACGGGUCAGCAUCAAUUUUGACCGGUGGAUAAAGGUCAGGGGAAUGUGGCAUCCUCGGAUGUGUUAUAGCCCUUGGUUGCAUACAUCGGUUGGGAUUGAGGAACUCAGCACGCCGCAAGGCCGGGUCUUUGACCACGUACGUGCUUAGGAUGCUGGCAUAAUGGCUUUAAUCGACCCGUCUUGAAAAGG